rnacentral:lncRNA from 1 species
GAACAAUAAAACAGUAGUGGGACACUUUCCAGUUCCAGAGAGAUGCUUUUAGAAAUCUAUUCAUAGACAAUGUGGACAUGGUUAAAACUGCCAAGGGAUAUGUUACAUGUUUGUAAUGAUGACGGGUUCAGUCGAUGGAUGGAAGCAACACCAUCAAAAGAUCUUGGAGUCAAAAUAAAUCUUUCACUGCAUGAAUUGGUACAUUAUUUUGGGGAAGAAAGUUAAUCUCUCAAGUAAAUAUCUGAUCAGAGAAUUUGCACUAACACUAACCUAUAGGAAGAUGCUUUGCUACUUGCGCUUAUGAGCUUUCACAAUCAAAAGCACUGAGAUAAAUCUUUCACUGCAUGAUUGACUAACUUACAAAGCUAUGCUUUACUGCGGCUAAAUAAUUAAGUUUUUCGCUUGAGCAGCUGAAAAUUAGUGAAUUAAAUAUAUGUGGCAGCUAACUACGAUGCAAAGAUCUAUCGAUUAGCAGGAGGAGUGCCAAAAUCUGAUCCCAGUCAAGAUUAUUAACUAAAACUUUUCUAUCUUAGGUUGCCUUUAAACUUAUUAUUAUUAUUAUUAUUAUUUUUUUCUUAUUUAUCUCUUUUGAAUUUCCAAAUGAUUUAUAAUCAUUGCUAUUUUUUUUCCCAUAUGUUUUGAAAAGGAAAUUGACAGUUUUGGUGAAAUGUUAACCCUCUUUGGCCCUGAGGUUAGACUGAAAUCCAGAUUAUGGCCCUUGCUGUGGUUGAGUUUGACACCCCUGGCCUAGAUUAUGUUCGCUUGGAAAUGCACUGAUAGUAUGUUUUCAAUCUUAAGAAAUGGCACACAGGCUAGCUAUGUGCUGUGGAAAACCACACACCUUGUUGGGCUGAUUGCCAGACUACCACAAACUGAACAGGGGGCAGGGAGAUGGAUAUCGGUUUUUGAGGAUGAACUGUAAAGAAAAUGUUGACUACACCAGACAUGAAAGCACUCUUGGCUCAACUGCUGGGAACUAAGACGAUGGAGAAGUCUCUGCGCAAGGCAAAACAAGGUUGGAUGACGAAUCCCAUGAUAGAUGGGAGUGAGUUCAAUGCAUAUUGUGAUGUGAUGUGGAGUACAGACUCAGGCCACGAUGGUGGCCACCUCUAAGGAAGACACUGCAGAAGAGACCCAGCGAUGCAGACCAUGCAGAUGCUAACUGCGGUAAAACCUGUGACAGUAACCUGUUUAAUCACCUGUUGUGAAUGUUUAUCCUCAGACAGAACCCUGCUCCAUAGAGAGGAUAUAUCCCGGCAGGGGGAGAGAGUGGAAUUCUGACGGACGUGUGACGUCCAAAGACCUGCUGGGGAUGUGAUCAUACCGGACAUUUUUGACAACUGCCCAGACCAGGGACGUCUCUGGCUGGAGCUGUGGUGGGGAGCCCCAGCCCAGACAAUGUGAAAGUGGUGGCUUACUACAGUGUGAUUUUUGUGGAUGAUGGAAAAAGUUAAUUUUUGGUUUUAAUUUUAACCCUGUUGACCUUAUAGACCAAAGAGCCCUAUGUAGAAGUAACAUUCAAAUUUGGUGCUCACCGCAAGGUGUGUAAGUAGACAGUUAUGGUUUAUAGUUUUAAGUAAAUAUCGUGACAUUAGCAUUGUAACAUUCCUGUUCUGUUAGUUUAAUACUGAUAAAUCUAAAUGCAGCUGUGCUGAAUCCACAUACACUCCUGACAGGUGUGCCAUCUAAUGUAAAAGUAAUAGAAAGCUAUCAAAGGCCAGUAAGGCCACAGAAAAUGGUUUAGAGUCAAAUAACUAGUUUUUGUACCAGUAGUAUUAACAAACGAACUUAGGAUCUGACUUUCACAGUGAUUCACACUGUGCAAGGGGGGAGAUGAUGAGACAAUUAAAACGACAUUUUUAGAAUAUGCUGACAAUAGUUGAUAAACUUUUGGGUCAUUGUGAUAUGUGUUUUGUUAGAUAAAAUGAAGAGAACAAUAAAACAGUAGUGGGACACUUUCCAGUUCCAGAGAGAUGCUUUUAGAAAUCUAUUCAUAGACAAUGUGGACAUGGUUAAAACUGCCAAGGGAUAUGUUACAUGUUUGUAAUGAUGACGGGUUCAGUCGAUGGAUGGAAGCAACACCAUCAAAAGAUCUUGGAGUCAAAAUAAAUCUUUCACUGCAUGAAUUGGUACAUUAUUUUGGGGAAGAAAGUUAAUCUCUCAAGUAAAUAUCUGAUCAGAGAAUUUGCACUAACACUAACCUAUAGGAAGAUGCUUUGCUACUUGCGCUUAUGAGCUUUCACAAUCAAAAGCACUGAGAUAAAUCUUUCACUGCAUGAUUGACUAACUUACAAAGCUAUGCUUUACUGCGGCUAAAUAAUUAAGUUUUUCGCUUGAGCAGCUGAAAAUUAGUGAAUUAAAUAUAUGUGGCAGCUAACUACGAUGCAAAGAUCUAUCGAUUAGCAGGAGGAGUGCCAAAAUCUGAUCCCAGUCAAGAGGUGGAGGCCAGUCGAGCCAGAGCAUCAGGUGUACAUCACCGUCCUUUGAGGAGGGUGGCAAAAAGAACGAGGAGAAGACCUGAACACUUUGGUCCUGGUGAAUCUACUUCAGUGCAAGAAGAGGGCAAAAUGAUGUGGCGUCAUCUACCACUGACUGCCCAGAAAAAACAAGGGAAGUAUGACUUGAUGAGAGACACUCCCAGAAUGACUGUAGCACUCGUCCUGAAAGUAACUGUUUUCCUGGUGUUGCUGCUGAGGGACAAUGUGUGGAGAGAGACCGAGAGAGAGACUGGAGACAACAAUGAGGGUGAAGGUCAAACUGGUGCCAGUACAGCUGUGAGAAGAAGAAGUGGGAGACAUUGUUAUCGCGGGUGAGUACGAUGCAACCCAAAACACAAUCCACACCACUCCAGACAGAGCUAGAACCCAUGCCAACAUUCACAGAUUAUUACAGAUUUACAAUGAGGUUAAAUAGAUAAUAAAAUUAAAAAGUAUUUUGUGUGUGGUAAUGUGAGAAUGAGAGAGGAUGUGAAGAGAAAAGAUGUGUCUUAAAAGGUUUUGGAAGUACUGUUGCAGAUACGUUUCUAACAAAACGAGCCCUGGGGGAGGUUUUUCUAAAGCUAUGAAGGGUAUAAAGAAAAGUUUAAAGUGGAAAUGCGGGAGAAUGCUGGUAAGGGGGGCCUGUUGAUGGACUGAAAGUGGUGAAGGGUAAAGAAAAGUUUAAAGUGGAAAUGUGGGAGAAUGCUGGUAAGGGGGGCCUGUUGAUGGACUGGGUGGUCUAAAUUUUAGAUGAAUGAGAGCCGUUUUGGCCCAGCCAUGAGUGCUGCGAUAGCCCUAAUUCUGAUUUCCUUUCUCACAUGUCGCAUCGUACACAUCCUUUGGAGACAUUGUUAUCGCGGCUGACGGAGGAGAUGGGACUUAUGGUGGACCUAACACUGGCCCAUGAACUACAGGAAAUGCCACCAAAACAGCUGGCACAGUGUGUGACUAAUCAAGGAGGGACUGAGGGACCGGAACGGUUCCUGGACUUUGAAGGAGAAGAAGAUGAGCAAUGGACUUUGAGCAACACAAACAACAUGUUUGUGUAAUGUAAUGUAAUGAUAUUAUCAAAUGUGGACACUUUCUUCUAUGCAAAUGAAAUUAUGUCAGCGCAUCCAGGAAAUGGAUGGUCGCCAGGGCGCGGGGCCGUAAGAUUCUUUCCCUGCUGAAACAGCCGAGCAGGGUUUUCAGUCUUACGCGCUGAUAUAAUUUGAAACGAUCCAAGCUAUGGUAUGGUAUGGUACUGAUUUUUGUUUCUUUAAUCACAUAAGGAUGUUUAGUGUUUGAUUUGAUGAUUAGGUUUUUGUGAAAGUAAGAACUUUCAAAGGGGGGAUGUGUAGGGGAAUGUCUUCAUACAUUUAGGUUAAGAAAUAUAGAGUAAUUAUCUUUUAGUAAGAAGGUACAAAUAAUCUAGGUUGGCCUGCUCCUGCUGCCCCACGACCAUGAGAUUGUAAGCAAGGCUGUCUUGCAGGAGCCCAAACUAUCUGUCUGUUGGAACAUGUAAUCUCUGCCAGGGUCAAGACGAACCUAAGCGUCGUGGGGCAGACAUGUCAUCAUGAGGGACCUUCUGGAGAACACACACACACACACACACACACACACACACACACACACACACACACACACACACACAUUUUAACAGCAUAAAAGAGAGUAGAAGUAAAGCUAGAGAGGCUUCCUUGGGUCUUGGUCGAGACUCUAUUUGUCAUCUGUACUGAUUUCUACAUCUGUACAAUUAAAGACGCCCCAGGCUGUUCUUCAGAUCUCA